rnacentral:snoRNA from 12 species
UUGCAGGAUAAGUUACAAUACAUUUUGUGUUGAGCUGCUUAGUUGUUCCCCCUGCAAACAGUAUUUGGGAAAUAGAAGACAAAAGACACACAU